rnacentral:lncRNA from 8 species
AAUGCCUUCAUAUGCAUGACAUACAGAGACAAUGUCCACUCUUUGUUUGUUUGCAAGGGUUACGUUAAGGGGAUUUGCUUUCGCUGUUAGCGUGUUAUGUGUGUGAAGUUACUGAUCAUUGAUUAGAGUUUUAUGCUUUAGUGGUGACUUUGUUAAUACAUUUGUCCCGUCACUCCAGAUGGAAUCAGUGUAACCUCACUGCUCUUUACAGGUGUGUGUAGAUGUUUGAAAUGUGACGAUGUGUUUUUUGACUAUCUGUGUGUGUCUAGGAGCUGUCUCUAAAGGAUGAGGUCCACACGCUCCGUCAGCGGAUCUCACAGCAGGAGGAGGCUCUAAGGGAUGCCAUGGAGACACUGAAGAGCUCCAACCGCACCAAAGACAGCAUGGAACACUUCAUUGUCAGCCAACUGUCGACAACAAAGGACGUCUUGAAGAAGGCACGGACAAAUUUAGAGGUGAAAUCCCAAGAGGCUUCUGCGAGCUCACCCAUUCUGCUGGUUCGGGUGUUGUGAAGCAACAGAUAAAGGCUCCAUCACCCAGAACUCCUACCGUGGCCCAGUAAUAUCCAGGGUCUGACCCAGGGGGUUAAAGACUGCAUCCCCUACAGCCAGCCUCUUUGUGAUGCACCAGCUUCAGCGUCCUCCUAAUACUGGGAGACAGGACAGGACUCUUCCUGUUUAAAAGAAAACAAAGUACAUAACAGGUCUCUGGUUAAAUAGGGGGGGACGCUACAGUUGAGGGGAGACUGUCUGAUAGUCAGUAGAGCUUUAACCAAGUGCUCUCUGUGAUGUUUAUGAAUGUCGACGACUGUCUAUCUCAGGUGUUAUGUAUAGCUUUUGUAGGUGCUACGAAGGUUUCUCAACUGAAGUGUUUCCCCUAUUUUGCCUGAUAUACAGUACCAGUCAAAAGUUUGGAGACACUGACUCCUUCAAGGGUUUUCUUUAUUUUUACUAUUUUCUACAUUUGAGAUAAUAGUGAAGACAUCAAAUCUAUGAAAUAACACAUAUGGAAUCAUGUAGUAACCAAAAAAGUGUUAAACAAAUCAAAAUAGAUUUUAUAUUUGAAAUUAUUCAAAGUUGCCACCUUGCCUUGAUGACAGCUUUGCACACUCUUGGAAUUCUCUCAACCAGCUUCACGAGGUAGUCACCUGGGAUGCAUUUCAAUUAACAGGUGUGCCUUGUUAACCUCUCUAGGCUAGGCGGGACGAAUGCGUCCCACCUACGUAACAGCCACUGCUAUCCUGUGGCGCGAUUUUCAAAACCUUAAAAAUCCUAU